ensembl:lncRNA
AGGAGCAGAGGGCAAGGUCAGAAGUGCUAACAGGAGAGAUAGGGUGGAAAGGCUACACAUCUUCAGAGGAAGGAGCUAUUUCGAAGUUGCGGCUGGGAAGUUAAGGAUGAUUUCUCAGGGGUGAGGUGGGCGUCAUGAUUAAACGCAGGUGUUGGUCACACUGAAGGAGCGGGGUUUGAACUGGCUGUAGAGGCUGUUAGCUAUGUGACGCUCGGCAAGUCGCUCCCGCCGUCUAAACUCAUCUGGGUGUCUCCGGUGGGAGGAAGGGAGACCGUGCGUGCCCCGCGGGUCUGUGGCAUGAAGACGAGGCACCGAGAGCCCUCAGCACAGGCCAGCAUGAAACAAAAGAAGCAGAAGCUGGAGCCCUGAGGGUUAAAGUAACCA